UCAUCCUCCUCCUUCCCCGUAUCACCCUCCGCCUCGAAGCUCCUGACCCAUCUGGCAACGGCAACGGCAACAGCGGCGGCGGCGGCAGCGGCAGCGGCAGACACCUACUUCGACCAAGAUCCAAGAACAUGAGCACCGGCCAUCUUAAAGCCCACCAUCAACAAUCUCGAAUUGGUGCAUUGAAGGGGAUCAGUUUGUAGUAAUGGGUAUCAUCAAUGUUUCCUUGUGCCAAUUGGUUUCAGAAAUUAAAUCUGAAGUAUGGGCAUCAGUAUACGGACGAC